GAGACACAGAAAAUAUUUAAUUAAUAAAGAUGGUAUGAUUACAUUAAAUUCAUGGAGCCAACAAUAAAGGAUAGAAACACUACGAUAAUUUUAGACCCAAAGAAAUUAUACCAAAGCCAAGUGUGUUAAAAGUAAAUGCAUUGUUGGGUGAAAGAAUGUUGACUCUUUUGGAAAGGGUGCCUUCUGAGAGCCAAUUGUAUCUCCAAUCAAUACAAUUCAAACAUUUUUUUCAAAAAUGAAGUAUCUCGAUUGUAUCAUACUUUAAUUGAUCAAUCAGAGGAUCCAAAUACCACAAUUGAA